rnacentral:piRNA from 1 species
UCCUACUUGAUGUUUGACUGUUGACUGGCU